rnacentral:lncRNA from 1 species
UCACUGUCUAGUAGUGAAGAGAGCGAUUAUUUUCUAGUCAUUUCUGAAAAGAAAAUAAUUGACCUAUUAGUAUAUGAACUAUUUUAAGCUUAAAGACUUGAACUUUAGUCUAAAAUUUUUUUCACUAUUUUAUAUGAAUUGACAGCCUCUACCUCCAAUCUGAAGAAUUACUUUAAUUCCUUAGCGGGUGCUAGAAUCUACACAGACUACAUUCAGGCC